GACGAACGCUGGCGGCGUGCCUAAUACAUGCAAGUCGAGCGAAGUUUUUCUGGUGCUUGCACUAGAAAAACUUAGCGGCGAACGGGUGAGUAACACGUAAAGAACCUGCCUCAUAGACUGGGUCAACUAUUGGAAACGAUAGCUAAUACCGGAUAACAGCAUUAACUGCAUGGUUGAUGUUUAAAAGUUGGUUUUGCUAACACUAUGAGAUGGCUUUGCGGUGCAUUAGCUAGUUGGUGGGGUAAAGGCCUACCAAGGCGACGAUGCAUAGCCGACCUGAGAGGGUGAUCGGCCACACUGGGACUGAGACACGGCCCAGACUCCUACGGGAGGCAGCAGUAGGGAAUCUUCCGCAAUGGGCGAAAGCCUGACGGAGCAACGCCGCGUGAGUGAAGAAGGAUUUCGGUUCGUAAAGCUCUGUUGUUAGGGAAGAAUGAUUGUGUAGUAACUAUACACAGUAGAGACG
rnacentral:rRNA from 1 species